rnacentral:rRNA from 1 species
UACACGCUGUGACUAGCAUAUCAAUAAGCGGAGGAAAAGAAACUAACAAGGAUUCCCUCAGUAACGGCGAGUGAAGCGGGAAGAGCUCAAAUUUGAAAUCUUGAAAGGUCACCUUUCACGAAUUGUAGUUUAAAGAAGUGUUUUCUGUUACGAUCGUAAUAUAAGUUCUUUGGAAUAGGACAUCACAGAGGGUGAGAAUCCCGUCUAUGAUUGCGAUUUGUAGCUUUGUGAUACACUUUCAAAGAGUCGGAUUGUUUGGGAAUGCAGUCCCAAAACUGGGUAGGUAAAUUUCAUUCUAAAGGCUAAAUAUCGGCGAGAGACCGAUAGCGAACAAGUACCGUGAGGGAAAGAUGAAAAGAACUUUGAAAAGAGAGUUAAACAGUACGUGAAAUUGUCAAAAGGGAAGCGUUUGACACCAGUGUUGUUUUCUCGAAAAUCAAUUAAAAAUGGCUCGAUUUUGUAUUGCUUGAGACCUUAAAAGCUCACUGUACAUUUUUCGUGUCUUUUUUAAUGCACUUUUCGUUUAACAAGUCAACAUCAGUUUCUUUUGUUGUAAAAGGGUCAUUGGAAGGUGGCUUUCUUUUCGGAGAAAGUGUUUAUAGCCUUUGGCCUCUGCAAUCGGAGAGACUGAGGUCUGCAGCGUAGACUCUUCGGGGUUAGAUACAUUUGUGCUAAGUUAUAGCUUUUUAUAGACAACUUGUUGACUAUAAUUAGUCUUGUAGCUUACUCGCUUAUGCUAUUUUACCUACGCUUGGAUGUUGAGUAGCGACAUACGCAC